UUGUAUAACGGGGGUGCAAGGGCUGUCGCUGACCUUCAAAGGUUGUGCACGCCCGAGCACUUUCACACAUCCAUCUCACCCCUUUGUGCACCACCGCGUGGGUCCGCCUUUGCAGGAGGGCUCGCGUUUUCACACAUAAACUUUGAUACAGUGUAGAAUGUUACAUUUUGCGGUCACACGCAAUUAAUA
rnacentral:misc_RNA from 1 species